CUUCUUCUGCUUUCUCAUUUCUCUACUUUUCUUCUUUCUUCUUUUCCCUCGUUUUCUAUUUUCCUCUUUUGUCUUUCCUCUCAUUUUUCCUCUAUUUUCAUCUUUCCCUUUUUCUCAUUUUUCCUCCUUUUAUUUUCUUUUUUCCUCCCUCUAUUUCUUUUUUCCUGUUUCUUUUUCCUCUUCUGCUUUUUCUCUCCUUCUCUCCUUUUUUCCUUAUUUUUCUCUCCUUCUCUCCUUUUUCCUCUCCUUUUUUCCUUAUUUUUCUCUCAUUCCCUCCUUUUUUCCUUAUUUCUCUCCUUCUCUCCUUUUUCCUCUCCUUUUUUCUUUAUUUUUCUCUCCUUCUCUCCUUUUUUCCUUAUUUCUCUCUUUUUCCCUCCUUCUCUCCUUUUUCCUCUCUCUAUUUCUCUCCUCCCCUUUUUAUGUCCCUUUUUCCUCUCUCUUUCUCUAGCUCUCUCUUUUUCUCUCCUUCCCUGGCUUCCACCUCUCUCUUUCCCCCGCUUUUCCCUCUCUUUUUUCCUCUCCUUAUUUUCACUGUUUCUCCCGCUUUUCCCUCUCUCUUUUUCCUCCCUUCUUCUCCCCUCCUCAUCUCUCCCCCGUGCCGGCAUCACCCCUCGCUCCCGUUCCGGGA
rnacentral:lncRNA from 1 species